UACGAAGGGGGCUAGCGUUGUUCGGAUUUACUGGGCGUAAAGCGCACGUAGGCGGAUCGUUAAGUCGGGGGUGAAAUCCUGGAGCUCAACUCCAGAACUGCCUUCGAUACUGGCGAUCUUGAGUCCGGAAGAGGUGAGUGGAACUCCUAGUGUAGAGGUGGAAUUCGUAGCUAUUAGGAAGAACACCAGUGGCGAAGGCGGCUCACUGGUCCGGUACUGACGCUGAGGUGCGAAAGCGUGGGGAGCAAACAGG
rnacentral:rRNA from 1 species